rnacentral:lncRNA from 10 species
GACCUUGCUCAGGUCACGUUCUGAGCCUGCUUCUCACUCCUGCCCCCUCCCACCCUCCUGGUUCUGCCAUGGACAAGCUGAAGUCUCUCUGAGACCAGGGGACCCGCAUGGCCCAGCCACCCCACCCCACCAUCUCCCAGGCAUGUGAGAAAAUAUCACAUUCUCUGUGUUUUGGAGAUUUCUUCUAAAUGUAUUUUCCAACUAUCAUUUCAUAGCAAAUCAGCGAGAAAAAAGGGGCUUCCUGGAGCUCCUGCAACCCCAGGCAUUAGUUCCGGUGCAGUUCUAGGAUCAGAUCAAUUCACUCGACAACAAGAGAAACAAAUGGAGAUUCCUACACAAAGACUUUCAAGCACAAAGAAAUCCUGCUGCCUGUAAAGCGGAGCUGCCUCAGCCCUUGAUGAACGACAGAAAAUACCACCUACUGCCAGACCUCAACGCCUCACAAAACUCUCACCCACCUACUGCUUUUAGCUCACAUUCCAGGAAUUCAGAUGAAGUGAAGUGCUCUCAUGGGGACCAGGCAUGGUUAUGCCAGUCCACUGCCCUGCAAGCCUCAAGGGAAGCCAACUGCCCUUCAGCAAGUCACACCUGCCUUGGUGGAGGCCUUGAUUGGAAGUGCCACACGCUACAUGUCCAGUCCUGAGCGGGAGAAUCGGUGUAGGGACGUUCUGGGGAUGCCAGCUGUGGCCAGAUCAGGUCCAACUACAGAAGAAUAAUGAAGACUCCACCUGAGGGCUGGAAAAACAAAACCUCAAGUGUGAGGCAGCCAACCUGUUACCUCGAGGGACUGUUCCGCAGCACAGCGGGGCCAUGGGAACAGCAGCAGACACCCCGACCUCCUCGCUACCUGUGUGUGUAUUAACACGCCGG